rnacentral:lncRNA from 1 species
GGGCGGCUUCUCUGGCGCUUAAGUGACAGGAGGAUGGGGUUCCGCGGCGCCCUUAGCUGACCUCGUGGUGCAAGAUAGGGAAGGUCCGGACUGCAAAGAGCCGAGUUCGAGUUCCAAUGACUCUCCUUGCCCCAAAAGAGUGGGACAGAGAGGUGUGACGGUCGGUGAGAAUAGUGGGAGGAGGGGAGUGCCACAACUCGGGAAAACAAACCGGCUCUGGUGAAGCUUGUGCACGCGUUCACAGGGCGGCCCCUCCCGCGCAUCGCCCUGCCACGGCCCUAGCCCCGACACUUUUCUCCCCAGGCUUCGCCAGAGUCUCCCCGGGCCUGCCUCGCCCGUUCUCAGUGCUGCGGACCGUAUGAGUUACUGUCCGUCGUGGGCUCCAAAGUCCCGGCAGCACUUCGUCUUCGACAUCCCGCUUCCUUCACACGGGGUCGCCCCCGCCAGCCGCCUGGGUUCCAGUUUACUUUUGCCGACGACCUCCUCUGCCUGGCAUGUCCUUCCUCUCAAAUGUCACAUCUGUGAAGCCUCACCUAAAACUCUGUUUCUGAGAUCGACACCUCCAAGAUUAAACUCAUUGGUUAUGCUCCUAAUGUUGGUCUGGGAAUCAGAAACUGAGGACUGCAGACUUACUGGUGAUGUAUUGACAGUCUCAUCUCUGUUUACCUAGCCCCAAAAAAGGUAGAGGUGAGGGUAGGGAGGGGAAGGCAUUAUGGGAAAAAUAAUUAGCAGCUGAAAGCAGCUAUUACAUAAUCUUGGCUGCUUAUUAAUUUAGCAGAAGAAAUGGCUUAUUAAAUUCUAAUAGCAGCAGCGCAACUGCAAACAACCUAGCAAUUAACAGUGCAGGGCCCAUUAUUUUGUUAAUAUGUUCUCUUCUUUUGGCAAGGGUAUGAGAACAAAAUUUAUAGAAGCAGAUGGUCUUUUUCAGUAGAUUAUAGAUAGUUUAUUCCCCAGUCUUAGUAUUAAGUGAUAAUUGUGCAUUCACUGUGAAAGAAAAAAGAAACGCAGUUGCCAUCUUUGUUAGUAAUUAAUUGCUUGACUUUGAUUCCCACAAUUUCCAAAUUGUAGCCUUUGUUAUGUAUAUUUCUUCUUAUCUAGUAUCUUUUUCACCUGUCCUGUCAAAAGGGUAUCACUUUCAAUCUUUUUUGUUUGUUUUCUGGAUGAUCCUGAUUUCUUGGUGUUAAUAAUAUAAAAAUUAGAAAACAAAAUUAUUUUUAAACAAUUAAAAAUCAGAUUUUAUACUCAUUUCCUAAAUAUUAAAAAAGUACCUUGCUGGCAUUUAUGCUAAAUGCAAGAGAUGAGGGGGAAAUAAGGAUUCUACCUUCUAACAAUAAAAUUGUUUAUGUAAUUGUUCAAAGUUCUCAAAAUAAUUUUAAUUGCCUAUAAAUGUAUGAUGGCCAUAUGUUUUUAUCCACUCUCCUUCUCAAAAGUCCAUUAAAUGAAAAAAACAAAACAAGGGCCGGGGAUUUAGCUCAGUGGUUCCACCGCCUGCCUCGCAAGCAGAAGGUCCUGAGUUCGAUCCCUGGUACCAAAAAAAAAAAACAACAAAAAAACAAAAAACAAGCCCAGGAUGGGGGGAGUGUUUAAAACAUACCCACAUGGACAAUAUGAGAGAAGCGUAACCACAUGGACAUCAACAGAAUAACUUAUCAUGAAUAUUUCAAUAAAGUGUCAGAGUAUACUAUCAACUUAUCGUUUAAACACUGAUGAUUUAAAUAAAAUUGUAAUGUAUUAAGAAUAUAGAGGAGCAGAAGUUGAAAUAAUGCUAAAAUAGAUACUAUCUGAAAUAAAUUCAGAAAUAGAAUUAUUAAGAUAUUCCUUAAAUACCAGGAACUAAAAUCCAGAAGCAAUAGUGAAUUUCUUUCCAGGGACAGAAUCUUGAGGUAGGAUGUCAUAAAGGCAAUUAUUAUAUUUUAUUUUAAUGUUUUACUUAAAUAAUUUAGAAAUAUUUUAAUGAAGUAGAUAAAAACCUAGUUAGUUGUUAACUCUAUAUUAUGGGCUCCUAUGGAAUUCCUUUAGCUAAUCUAGAUUAUUCAGAAAUUACUAAAUAAAAAUGUCUAAUAAUGGAAUUCAGUGCUGAAACUAUAUACAAGAUAUGUUUUUAAAAGAUGCUUUGGGUUUGUGAAUUUGCAUCUCCAAAGAUAAAGUUGUUCCAAGGAGAAAACUGGUCAAAAAUAAUGAGAAUUAGUGAAUCAGAUCAUUUCAAAAUAGAGCUGUCGCUCCCAAAGUCCUCAACAAUGAGCUAAAGAGAAAUGUAGAACAUAUGCUCUUUCUUAAGAUUAAUUUCCAUUGCUUUGAAUAAAUUGCAGCAAAAUUACGAUUCGACUAUUAAUAUUAGGUUAAAGCAGUGGUUCUCAACCUGGGCAAAUUUCCCCCAGGGGACACUUGGCACUGCUUGGAGACAUUUUACUUGUCACAACUAGGAGUAGGUGGUGCUGCUACUAGUGGUUAGAGAGUGGGUUGCUGCUCAAUGUCCUACAGGGCACAGGACAGUCCCCACGACCAAGAAUGACCAGCCCCAAAUGACGACAGUGCCAAGGUUGAGAAACCCUGGAUUAGUCACUGAAAAGGUCUUUUACAGACAUCUCAAGAAGCAGAACAAGCACCAGGUUCAUAGGAGCUUUAUUUUUCCUCCUCUUUCUCAGAGGAGGAGUCAGAGACAUUAUUCUUAAUAUUUGGUACAUAAAAUCUUCAACUGCUGGAAAGGCUGGCCACAUACAUGAGGCAGUCAGUAACUAGAAUAAAUUUUUCAAAUAGAAUUUUUUUAAAAAGGGACCCCAGAACAAAGUUACUUAAGAACUUAAAUCCAUGAGAUGACUAUUCCAUCCAUUUGUUGAUUUAUCCCAAAUGCUUAUUAUGUGUCUUUGUUGGUAGUAAUAGGGGUACAACGAUAAAUAAGAUACUGACUCAGCCCUUAAACUGCCAACACAGAAUUUCUCCUGACACAGAAUUCCAAGUCUUUUGGAGACAAACAGUAGAUGGUCACAGGAACAGUCACUAGUUACAUAUAAAUACAUUUUCUUUUAGGAAAUGACUAGAGAUGCUUCACAGAACUUUAGAUUUCUGUGACUGACACCUUUAAAAACUAUUUGACCUCAUGACUUCCCAGGGCUUGUAGCAGCAAUCUUUUCAUUCUGUGAAUUUUUGACAGCACUCUUAGUUCACAACAAUGUGAAAGGGAGAUCCUACGUUUUUAACAAAUAAUUUCAAAUAAUGUUUUGUCUUAGUUCUUGAAAUAAUCUAAUUCUAAAUAACUAAACCAGCUGUUCUAGAAUGCUCUCUUAGGGGACUUUGGAAAACAUAUUGCUGGGCCUCAUUCUUAGAGUCUCUCAUGCAACAGUUCUGAUUUGAGGUUUAAAAAUGUGUUUCUAACAAGUUAUGAAGUAGAGCUGUUGGUCUGGGGGCACUUUGAGAACCACUCCUCUAUACCAAAAAAAAAAAAAAAGAAGAAGAAGAAAAGUUGUGCUAUUCAACUGUAAAGUUCUUAAAGUCAGCAAUUAUAAUUUCCCAGACAAAUGAUCUAAAGAAAAAUUGAUAUCUGAUUGUUUUUAUCAUUGACCUCAUUAAGUCAGAUAACAUUAAGGAGAGUAAUAUUCCCAGUUAUGUGGACCUAAAGCUAAAUCUGUAUGUACAACUCAGAGUAAUAUGGCCAUUAUAUGCCCUGUACAAACUAAUGUACUGUAAGAGUCAAAGGUGGAAAUUGGAGUGCUUAAAGCAAGGUAAAGUUUGCACUGUAAAAAUCAGAUAUUUAUUUGAUUACUAUCACUAUUCCAAUUAUUUAUGACAAGUAGGACUCACCUCUGAAAUAUCACAAACAGGGCAUAGAAAGGAGGGAGUUGAGAGGGAACAGCUACAUAGAAUCAGUAUCCCUGGGUAAAAGACAGACCAGCACGUAGUAAUGAAAAUCCGCUCUUUCUGGGCCAGGGGAUUUAGCUCAGUGGCAUUGUGCCUGCCUGGCAAGCACAAGGUCCUGAGUUCAGUCCCUGGUACCAAAAAGAAAAAAAAAAUUGCUCUUUCUCUCCCUUAGCUAGCAUGCCACUAGACCCAGUUCCUCAGCCUCCUCUGUGGGUAGGUGUGCUGAAGGAGAAGACUCAACCAAUGAAAUGUGGACGGAAGAGAUAGACAGCCAGGCCCAUGAUCGCACCCAUCCUGCCCAACCCUCCUUUUGCCACCUGGAUGGUGAUCCCCAGGGAAUCCUUGAAAGUCAUGUGUUGCACAUGACUCUGUCUCUGUCAGUCUAGGUUCCUAAAUGACUGCAUGGAACAGACAUACUCAGACUACUACCACCUCCUCCCCUCCUCCCAUCAGUUGUACUUGAAGUGACUGAGAAGUUGUAUUAAACCACUGAUUUGUAUUAAUACCUUUGUAUUAAACCACUGAUUUUUCCAGGUUUAUCUGUUAUAGUUGCUAGGGCUAUCUUUGCAAGCUGUUUUGUACUCAGUUUCAAAGAGAGCCAAAAUGAUCGGAAAAGCAGGUGAAUUUUUCAAGUGGAUGGCUCUUUUUUAUUGUAAUCCUGCUUUCUGUGCUCCAUCAUGUGUCUCCCUUCCUUUGAUGUUUGAAGACAAUCAUCACACAAUCUGAGGGCAGAAUUUAAAA